rnacentral:misc_RNA from 1 species
AACGCACAUUGCGCCCGCCAGUACUCUGGCGGGCAUGCCUGUUCGAGCGUCAUUUCAACCCUCAAGCCCUGCUUGGUGUUGGGGCCCUACGGCUGCCGUAGGCCCUGAAAGGAAGUGGCGGGCUCGCUACAACUCCGAGCGUAGUAGAAUCCUAUCUCGCUAGGGAGGUGCGGCGUGCUCCUGCCGUUAAAGACCCCAUCUUUAACCAAGGUUGACCUCGGAUCAGGUAGGAAUACCCGCUGAACUUAA